AGGACUUCUGGUUUGAAUUAAUUCAAGACAUAACAUGUGAGCAAUGGCUGUGAGGUCCAGUAGCCAGUGGUUCUUUGCGUAAUUGUUCAAAAGGACAUUUUGAGGUGCUUGUCCAGAUGUGAUUAUUUCUCUUCAGUAACAGGUCAAUCAUAUAUUUCUUUCAUCUAACUUUGUGCUUUGUUAUCUACAAACUAAUAGGUCGUUCUGUC
rnacentral:rRNA from 1 species